rnacentral:rRNA from 2 species
AUAUCAAUAAGCGGAGGAAAAGAAACUAACAAGGAUUCCCCUAGUAACUGCGAGUGAAGCGGGAAAAGCUCAAAUUUAAAAUCUGGUGGCCUCUGGUCAUCCGAGUUGUAAUUUAGAGAAGCGUCUUCCGCGCUGGACCAUGCACAAGUCUCCUGGAAUGGAGCGUCAUAGAGGGUGAGAAUCCCGUCUUUGGCAUGGAUGCACCAGGGCUUCUGUGAUGCGCUCUCAAAGAGUCGAGUUGUUUGGGAAUGCAGCUCAAAAUGGGUGGUGAACUCCAUCUAAAGCUAAAUAUUGGCGAGAGACCGAUAGCGAACAAGUACCGUGAGGGAAAGAUGAAAAGCACUUUGGAAAGAGAGUGAAACAGUACGUGAAAUUGUUGAAAGGGAAACGCUUGAAGUCAGUCGCGUCGACCGAGACUCAGCCUCGCCUUGGCUUGGUGUACUUCUCGGCUGACGGGUCAGUGUCAAUUUUGGGCCUCGGAUAAUGACAAGGGAAAGGUGGCACCUUUAUAGGUGUGUUAUAGUCUCCUGUCGGAUGCGAGGGUCGGGAUUGAGGAACUCAGCACGCGCCUUUUGGUGUCGGGGCUUCGGCCUACGCUACGUGCUUAGGAUGCUGGCAUAAUGGCUUUAAACGACCCGUCUUGAAACACGGACCAAGGAGUCUAACAUGCCCGCGAGUGUUCGGGUGGAAAACCCGUGCGCGUAAUGAAAGUAAAAGUUGGGACCUCUGUCGUGGAGAGCACCGACGCCCGGACCAGACCUUCUGUGACGGAUCUGCGGUAGAGCGUGCAUGUUGGGACCCGAAAGAUGGUGAACUAUGCCUGAAUAGGGUGAAGCCAGAGGAAACUCUGGUGGAGGCUCGUAGCGAUUCUGACGUGCAAAUCGAUCGUCAAAUUUGGGUAUAGGGGCGAAAGACUAAUCGAACCAUCUAGUAGCUGGUUCCUGC